AUCGAACGCUGGCGGCAGGCUUAACACAUGCAAGUCGAGCGGAGAUGAGGUGCUUGCACCUUAUCUUAGCGGCGGACGGGUGAGUAAUGCUUAGGAAUCUGCCUAUUAGUGGGGGACAACAUUCCGAAAGGAAUGCUAAUACCGCAUACGUCCUACGGGAGAAAGCAGGGGAUCUUCGGACCUUGCGCUAAUAGAUGAGCCUAAGUCGGAUUGGCUAGUUGGUGGGGUAAAGGCCUACCAAGGCGACGAUCUGUAGCGGGUCUGAGAGGAUGAUCCGCCACACUGGGACUGAGACACGGCCAAGACUCCUACGGGGGGCAGCAGUGGGGAAUAUUGGACAAUGGGGGAAACCCUGAUCCAGCCAUGCCGCGUGUGUGAAGAAGGCCUUAUGGUUGUAAAGCACUUUAAGCGAGGAGGAGGCUACUGAGACUAAUACUCUUGGAUAGUGGACGUUACUCGCAGAAUAAGCACCGGCUAACUCUGUGCCAGCCGCCGCCGUAA
rnacentral:rRNA from 1 species